GAGUGAACGCUGGCGGUAGGCCUAACACAUGCAAGUCGAACGGCAGCACAGUAAGAGCUUGCUCUUACGGGUGGCGAGUGGCGGACGGGUGAGGAAUACAUCGGAAUCUACUUUUUCGUGGGGGAUAACGUAGGGAAACUUACGCUAAUACCGCAUACGACCUACGGGUGAAAGCAGGGGAUCUUCGGACCUUGCGCGAUUGAAUGAGCCGAUGUCGGAUUAGCUAGUUGGCGGGGUAAAGGCCCACCAAGGCGACGAUCCGUAGCUGGUCUGAGAGGAUGAGCAGCCACACUGGAACUGAGACACGGUCCAGACUCCUACGGGAGGCAGCAGUGGGGAAUAUUGGACAAUGGGCGCAAGCCUGAUCCAGCCAUACCGCGUGGGUGAAGAAGGCCUUCGGGUUGUAAAGCCCUUUUGUUGGGAAAGAAAAGCAGCAGGUUAAUACCCCGCUGUUCUGACGGUACCCAAAGAAUAAGCACCGGCUAACUUCGUG
rnacentral:rRNA from 1 species